rnacentral:rRNA from 1 species
CCUGCCCCUGUGCGGGGGAUAACAGGAGGAAACUCCUGCUAAUACCGCAUAGCCAUGAGCACCGCAUGGAGCUCAUGCCAAAUAUCCUUUAUGGGAUAGCGCAGGGAUGGACCUAUAGCGCAUUAGCUGGUUGGCGGGGCAACGGCCCACCAAGGCAACGAUGCGUAGCCGGCCUGAGAGGGCGGGCGGCCACAUUGGGACUGAGACACGGCCCAGACUCCUACGGGAGGCAGCAGUAGGGAAUUUUCGGCAAUGGGGGAAACCCUGACCGAGCAACGCCGCGUGAGCGAAGAAGGCCUUCGGGUCGUAAAGCUCUGUUGUAAAGGAAGAACGGCGCAUACAGGAAAUGGUAUGCGAGUGACGGUACUUUACCAGAAAGCCACGGCUAACUACGUGCCAGCAGCCGCGGUAAUACGUAGGUGGCGAGCGUUAUCCGGAAUCAUUGGGCGUAAAGAGGGAGCAGGCGGCCGCAAGGGUCUGUGGUGAAAGCCCGAAGCUAAACUUCGGUAAGCCAUGGAAACCGGGCGGCUAGAGUGCGGAAGAGGAUCGUGGAAUUCCAUGUGUAGCGGUGAAAUGCGUAGAUAUAUGGAGGAACACCAGUGGCGAAGGCGACGGUCUGGGCCGCAACUGACGCUCAUUCCCGAAAGCGUGGGGAGCAAAUAGGAUUAGAUACCCUAGUAGUCCACGCCGUAAACGAUGGUCACUAAGUGUCGGGGGUCAAACCCCGGUGCUGCAGUCCA